CAGUAGCGUAUAUUAAAGUUGUUGCAGUUAAAAAGCUCGUAGUUGGAUUUCUGGUACGCUGCGCCUGGCCCGCCCACGUUAGUGGUGUGAGUGUCGGUGCGCGGUUGCCAUCCUUCUAGAGAACGUGUCUACCUUUAAUUAGGCCGGGCUACGGGAUCUAGAUCAUUUACUUUGAAAAAUUAGAGUGUUUAAAGCAGGCUUUUGCUAUGAAUACAUUAGCAUGGAAUAAUAAUCUAGGACUUCGGUGCUAUUUUGUUUGGUUUUCGUUGGUAACGUAGAAGUAAAUAGAUUGUAUAGGGAGUAGUUGGGGGUUGGGUCGUAGUAUUGUAGCGGCCGACGAGGUGGAAA
rnacentral:rRNA from 1 species